UGAGCAAUCUGCCCUUCUCAUCGGAAUAAGCGUUGGAAACGACGUCUAAUGCCGAAUACGACCUCCUUUCACAUGAUCGGAGGUGGAAAGCUCCGGCGGAGAAGGAUGAGCUCGCGGCCUAUCAGCUAGUUGGUGUGGGUAACGCCCACCAAGGCGACGACGGGUAGCCGGCCUGGGGAGGGUGACCGGCCACACUGGGACUGAGACACGGCCCAGACUCCUAGGGNGCAGCAGG
rnacentral:rRNA from 1 species